GGCUAGAUUUAGUAUAUUAAGAAUUUAUUAAUUCUGAUCCAUGUCGAGCGGCGAACAAAUCCAGUAGGUGUUGAGCGUUCGUGCGAUUUCUUCCUGCUUGCCCCGAUUUCAUGUUUUGCUCGGCCGCGCCUCCUCCCUCUGUCCAUGUUUCAAAGUAGCUCAGGCGCGGCGUCUACUCGCUUAAUGUUUUAAAGCAGAAGAUGAGGAUGUAUAGCCCCGCCGAGCAAUCGCCUAUGCCGAAUCAGGUUGUUUUGGAGCUGUAGAUGAAGAUUUGGUAGCAGAUCAGAAAAUUUGCCGGUGAAGGUCACAUAAUAGAUCUUGCUGAUUAUGUAGUUGCAUAAAGAAAUUGACUUGACUCACAGUGUGCUACAUCAUACUAGAUAUUUGGUUCCAUGAACACUUACUUCAUUUUAUAUGAAUGAAUCAGAUUGCCAGUUAGUUUUUACUCACAAUUGAUUGUUGUUGUUUUGCUGAAGAGUUUGUGACAAAAAAGAUAAUUGUUACAGCUGAGAGCAUAGACAAAUCUUAUGUCGUAACAGGUUUGGAGUUACGCUGAGAAUCAAAAUGUCAAGGCUCAAAAAACUAGAUGCUGCCUUCAACUAUGUUCCUUUGUCCAUCUCCUCAAAUACUCUAUAUCAUGUUCCUUUCAGCGGUUAGAUAUUUUUAGUGACAAUAUGUCAGCGGUCGAUCUCAUUGGAGUUUUCCUUUGGUGUGUAGUCAUCUCUUAUACUGGCCAUAAAUUAGUACAUAUAAAUUCAAUUUAUAUGUACAAGAUUCCUGCUCUAUGGCAUUUAUGGUUAGUGAUAUGUAACAGUGAGCUGCCGUAUCUUGUUUUCAUCCAGUUAGCAAAGCAUCAUUUUCAUUUUUGAGAAGAGUUGAUGAUAGCCCAGUUUAUAAACUUACUCCAGAUUGGACCGAUGUUGAUAAUUCUUAUUCUUUUGUUAGAUAUAUGGGUCAAUAGAUUUUGUGAUUUGACUCCCUGAUAGUCUAAGUUGCUUCAGUUUUGUACCUAGAUCAGAUUGUAUUUAGGCAGCACACUGUACAAGCAUUUUCAGAUGUACAGGAUGGUAGACGUGCAUAUCAUGCGGGUCUCCUCCUCUGCAGUAUUGCGCAGCCGUUUCAAUUUUGAAUUGGCAUUAGACUGGACUAUAAGAUGUUUAAUGCCUGCAAGCAUGGCCUAAUUUAUUAACAAAGAGAACUCUAUAUCCUACUACAAAUUCGUGUGUGAAAUGAGCUGACAAUAGGAUUAUCGACUACUCCAUAGGUUUGCUGGGCAAUUGCCAUUCUUUUUUAAUGGCAGUUCUAUAGGCCUUGUUGGAGAAGGAAAUUUCCCCCUUUGUCGUGUUCUUAUGUCAAAUAUAUCGUGUUUAUUUUUUUCAUAACGAUCACAUUAUAUUGAUAAUUUAUAAUCCACCAAGUUCUUGCCAGAAAAGAUGAUGAAAAGAUAAAUAGAACUUUUGUUUUUGAAAUUUACACCUAUUUGCAAGGCCCCAUAUGAAUACAUUAUCGAUGCAGUACUGUUAUUGUUCGUGAUUCUUUUAUUACAUUUCUUUUGCUCUUUGAGUGAGGAGCUUGAAAAGAAUAUAUCUCAAGCGCACUGUAUGAGGCUUUAGAAGGAAAUACAUACGAGACUUCAGGAAGAAGGGAAGACAGAACAGGCUAGGAAAGACUUUGGUAAGGUGUAGGACUGAUUUUUCUCUACUGUUCUAUGGUAUCCCUUCUAUAGUUUGUUCUGCACAUGUACCUUGCACUUGGUACAGAUCAUGAUGAUAUUUUCCAUUAUAUUUUUGUCAAUGGAACAACUAGCUAGAAGAAACGGCUUACCAUGUUCCCAUUUGAGUCUUGUGUGCAAGCCUAUAUUGUAUACUAUCUGUCCAUAGUAUAAUUAACUAGAAGAAACGGCCAACCAUUCUUCUAUUGGAAUCUCAAGUGCAAGGCCAUAUUAUGAAAUGAUAUAAGCAUGUCAGAUUCAAGGAAGUUGCUGAUCUGAUGUCACGUUACACUAUUUGUCCUCCCCGAAGUACUAAAAAACAGAAAUAAUGCAUUUUCCUAUAAGUAAUCAUUUUAUUUUUUAUUGUACUGCGUAAAUGUAUGAUGUUAUCAUAUACUAUUUCAUAGAAUGAUCACCGUGGUUGCCGUUUGGUAUCUUUGUUUAGUAUUGCA